rnacentral:tRNA from 1 species
GCCUAGUUAGCUUAGUUGGUAGUGCAUCUGCCUUGUAAGCGCUAGGCCGCGGGUUCGAUUCCCGCCGGGGCG